rnacentral:rRNA from 1 species
UAACACGUGGGCAACCUGCCCCCUCCACCGGGACAGCCUCGGGAAACCGUGGGUAAUACCGGAUACUCCGGGACGGCCGCAUGGCCGGCCCGGGAAAGCCCAGACGGGAGGGGAUGGGCCCGCGGCCUGUUAGCUAGUCGGCGGGGUAACGGCCCACCGAGGCGAUUAUGGGUAGCCGGGUUGAGAGACCGACCGGCCAGAUUGGGACUGAGACACGGCCCAGACUCCUACGGGAGGCAGCAGUGGGGAAUCUUGCGCAAUGGGCGGAAGCCUGACGCAGCGACGCCGCGUGCGGGACGAAGGCCUUCGGGUCGUAAACCGCUUUCAGCAGGGACGAGGCCCUCACGGUGACGGUACCUGCAGAAGAAGCCCCGGCUAACUACGUGCCAGCAGCCGCGGUAAUACGUAGGGGGCGAGCGUUAUCCGGAUUCAUUGGGCGUAAAGCGCGCGUAGGCGGCCUGUUAGGUCGGGGGUCAAAUACCGGGGCUCAACCCCGGUCCGCCCCCGAUACCGGCAGGCUUGAGUCUGGUAGGGGAAGGCGGAAUUCCCAGUGUAGCGGUGGAAUGCGCAGAUAUUGGGAAGAACACCGGCGGCGAAGGCGGCCUUCUGGGCCACGACUGACGCUGAGGCGCGAAAGCUAGGGGAGCGAACAGGAUUAGAUACCCUGGUAGUCCUAGCCGUAAACGAUA